UACGUAGGGCGCAAGCGUUGUCCGGAAUUACUGGGCGUAAAGAGCUCGUAGGUGGUUUGUCGCGUUGUUCGUGAAAACUCACAGCUUAACUGUGGGCGUGCGGGCGAUACGGGCAGACUGGAGUACUGCAGGGGAGACUGGAAUUCCUGGUGUAGCGGUGGAAUGCGCGGAUAUCAGGAGGAACACCGGUGGCGAAGGCGGGUCUCUGGGCAGUAACUGACGCUGAGGAGCGAAAGCGUGGGGAGCGAACAGG
rnacentral:rRNA from 1 species